ACGCUCGACACCUACGGGGGCAGCAGUGGGGAAUAUUGCACAAUGGGGGAAACCCUGAUGCAGCGACGCCGCGUGGAGGAAGAAGGUCUUCGGAUUGUAAACUCCUGUCCCAGGGGACGAUAAUGACGGUACCCUGGGAGGAAGCACCGGCUAACUACGUGCCAGCAGCCGCGGUAAUCUGAGCGGGCUGGCAAGGC
rnacentral:rRNA from 1 species